AGGAAGUAAGUAGAAACGAACAGCCAAAAAUGCACUCUAGUAAAAGCUGAAGUACCCAGUUGGCCCUUCUACUUAAUUAACCCCAGACCAGAGAGCCGUGAAAGACCCCGCCUGUCGCUCCUGCCGAGUGCGACAUGGCACAUUAUCCUGAGUUACUCCGCUUCCAAAGUUGAAUGCUGAGCUCUGUGGCUGCGUUCUGACUGCCGAACCUCUGCAGGCCCAGACAAAACCAGAACGAAACACAAGCUCCAUCUGACGAAUGUUGAGGUUCACUCUGCGAUCAGCUGACACUCUUCUUGGUUUGUACCCCAUUAAAGUACGCGGACACUUUAAAGUUCCAUAGUGAUGCUCUUACUGACUAUGAGAGACAGACUGACACCUUGCAUUUUGCAGAACAAAUAGAUGCAUUCCAAAUCCUGACCAUUAGAGGGCGGCAAAGUUUCUCCCAUGUAGCUCAAGCCACUGCUAAACACAGACUAGUGUGAACAAGGAGCUGAUGACAGGUUUCAGCGAUGAGCCAAGAGAUGAUAGUAUGAUUUAAUGUUGUCUUUACCUCCUCGAGAGAUGGUUUUGUAAUCCAAAGUAAUAUAAUGUUUAAACCAAAAGCAUUUUAGUUAAUCACAAUGGUGGUAACAAUACUGAAACCUCUAGCUUUUAAACAUUAUGCUACUUAUUGAUCUAGAGUUGUGCUUAACCCGAUGUGGCUGUGCUCGGAUGUAAAGGCGACACUAAUAACCGCGUGGCUGCUGACUCAGGAUCAUACCACGCCGCCCUGCUGGCUGGGAGGACUCAGUGGCUUGUGGCUGGAGGCCAACCAAUCAGAGAGUUUUAAAGGUGUCUGGCGCAACUCGGCUCAGCUCAGCACAGCUGCCAAGGUCAGAAUUGAUGAUCUUUCAAAAUAGAAGACCUAUCAAUAUGGUGAAGAACCACUAUUUUAGUUUUGCUGUUCUGUUCUAAGGUGAGUAGAGAACUGACAAGACGGCUGACACAUUCAUGAGUGGUAUUAUAUCUUACAAUUUGUUAAUUUGCUGAGGGGACUGAGUUGAUGUGUUUUGGGAAACAGUUAAACAGCAAAGAGCCUUUCAGGACCUGAACCCACAAUAUUCUGUUUCCAGAUCUCAGGUUUGUUCAGUGGACCCUGAACUGUAAGAUCAUCACAAGGGGGGCGUGGCACUGAACAUUCCAGACCACUGUCAGUACUGCAUCACCCUGCCAGCCUCCCUUCCUCAGCAUUCCAAACCACUGUCAGCACUGCAGUAAGACAUUCUAAUUGCAGGACCAGGACCUUCAGAGAGGAACAGCCCUGUGGAUAUUUUUAUACGUUCAUCUAAUUUUUAUGCUUAGUGAAUUUUUAUGUCUGCAUUACCCCCCACAGCUCUCCGCAGCAGUCUGUUGCCCAUUCUCUGGAUAUGUACUGCAACAAUGGAAAACGCACCCUUGUUUUUUAGGAAUCCAUAGCAGACGUUCUACUUUUGAUGUAGGAUGUCAGCUGGCUGCCAUUUUUGGAGACAUUCCAAUGCUUGCUGGGAAAUGUAGGCCUUAAGCAAGCAAUUCAUCACAGAGCCAGACAGGGUGACAGACUGGCAGAAUGCAGCUGGGUAAACAGAGUAAACCUCUCCGCUCCUGACUAUUUCGAUCCCAUUCCCCUCAUCGCCAGUGUGAAUUACAUAUUUUUAUGAGUGAAAAUCCUCAGGGCGCAUCUCAGAGGGUUUGAAACGUAGGACAUUUGGUUUAGUCCUGAAAAUCCUUAACACCGUGUUAGAUUUGGGUUUAGGGCUCGGAGUUGUUAUCUUAGGAGCUCAGCCCUGGUGCCUCGAAGGCUUCCUCGUCACGUUCCUCAGCUCCAGACAGCAAAGCAUGAGCGAAAUACCAAAAAGUGACAAUUCCACCUUCAUUAGAGUAAACGGC